rnacentral:rRNA from 1 species
AUUGAACGCUGGCGGCAUGCCUAACACAUGCAAGUCGAACGGGGCAGCAAUGCCUAGUGGCGGACGGGUGAGGAAUACGUAGGAAUCUGCCCUUAAGUGGGGGAUAACCAGGGGAAACCCUGACUAAUACCGCAUGAUCUCUUCGGAGCAAAGAGGGGGACCGCAAGGCCUCUCGCUUCUGGAUGAGCCUACGUCUGAUUAGCUAGUUGGUAGGGUAAAGGCCUACCAAGGCGACGAUCAGUAACUGGUCUGAGAGGAUGAUCAGUCACACCGGAACUGAGACACGGUCCGGAAUACUACGGGAGGCAGCAGUGGGGAAUAUUGGACAAUGGGCGCAAGCCUGAUCCAGCAAUGCCGCGUGUGUGAAGAAGGCCUUCGGGUUGUAAAGCACUUUAGCCUGGAAAGAAAAAACUUUGGUUAACACCCAAAGUCGUGACGGUACCAGGAGAAUAAGCACCGGCUAACUCUGUGCCAGCCGCCGCGGUAAAAC